rnacentral:rRNA from 1 species
GACGAACCGAGCGAACGUUGUUCGGAAUCACUGGGCUUAAAGGGCGCGUAGGCGGGCUGUCAAGUCUGGGGUGAAAUCCCGCGGCUCAACCGUGGAACUGCCUCAGAUACUGACGGUCUCGAGGGGGGAUAGGGGGCGAGCGGAACUGUGAGUGGAGCGGUGAAAUGCGUUGAUAUUCACAGGAACUCCGGUGGCGGAAGGCGGCUCGCUGGAUCUCUUCUGACGCUGAGGCGCGAAAGCUAGGGGAGCAAACAGGGGGAUUAAGAUACCC